rnacentral:rRNA from 1 species
UACGGGGGGAGCAAGCGUUGCGUCGGUAUUUGACUGGGCGAUGAAAGGGCGGCGGUGAGGCGGUCAGCACAAGUCAGUUGUGAAAUCUCCGGGCUUAACUCGGAAAGGUCAACUGAUACUGUGCGACUAGAGUGCGGAAGGGGCAACUGGAAUUCUCGGUGUAGCGGUGAAAUGCGUAGAUAUCGAGAGGAACACCUGCGGCGAAGGCGGGUUGCUGGGCCGACACUGACGCUGAUGCGCGAAAGCCAGGGGAGCGAACAGG